rnacentral:pre_miRNA from 1 species
UUGGAAUUUGAGUGCUUCCGGUGUGUGCUUUGUGACAAUGAGAUUCUACAUCUGAAGUUCAUCCCCUUGUUGCAAACCUCACGCUGGCGGUGUUCAAC